GUCAGAAUGGCCGAGCGGUCUAAGGCGCCAGGUUACGGUUCUGGUCCUCUCCGAGGGCGUGGGUUCGAAUCCCACUUCUGACA
rnacentral:tRNA from 1 species